CGCGGGGUAGAGCAGUUGGCAGCUCGUCGGGCUCAUAACCCGGAGGUCGCUGGUUCGAGUCCAGCCCCCGCAA
rnacentral:tRNA from 1 species